AUACGAGGGGUGCAAGCGUUGUUCGGAAUUACUGGGCGUAAAGGGAGCGUAGGCGGAGAUUCAAGCGGAUUGUACAAUCCCGGGGCCCAACCCCGGCUCUGCAGUCCGAACUGGAUCUCUUGGAUAGUUCAGGGGCAGGCGGAAUUCCUGGUGUAGCGGUGGAAUGCGUAGAGAUCAGGAAGAACACCGAUGGCGAAGGCAGCCUGCUGACGACUUAUCGACGCUGAGGCUCGAAAGUGCGGGUAGCAAACAGGAUUAGAUGCCCUGGUAGUCCGCACCGUAAACGAUGCAUACUGGGUUUCCGGGGGUUCCCCCGGGUACCGUAGCCAACGCGUUAAGUAUGCCGCCUGGGGAGUACGUACGCAAGUAUGAAACUCAAAUGAAUUGACGGGG
rnacentral:rRNA from 1 species